AGCACAUUGAAUUUUCCUCGGGUCUUACAUAUGAGGUUUUUGCAGCAUUGCAAUUGAAGGCUUCCUCCAUGGGAGAUGAAGAAAGAGACUGUGUUCUUUUGCUUGACGAAAUGGCAAUCAUUCCAUCAUAUGAUUUUGACACAAGAACUGAGUCAGUCAUCGGCCAUUGCUCUCUCUCUCUACAUCAGAAUUGUCAAGCUUGGACCAUCUUGGAGGGUAUGCAGUCCACCAGUUCAUCAAACUAAAUGGUCGCUGCCACGAAUGUUUGAAAACCUUACUUGCAGAUCCUCCUAAACCAGAAUUGCAUGACUAUAUCGUAUCAAUGCAAAGUCUUGUCCAGCUUCGCGACAACACCGGAUCAUCUCUUACAUAUAUUUCGCAAGAGGUAAAGAAAUUACUCCUUCGUGCAGAGAGCAUAUUCGUGGCUAGUGAGGCACAAGUAAUGAAAGUGAAUAGUAUCCUGAGUGCUCUUGUUGACAAAUGCCUUGCCAUGGCUGACAGUAAUAUUCCCGAUUGCCACCAAGCUAAGUCAAAGAUUUUAAAAACCUAUUUUCGUGUCAGGAUUUACGCUCUUCUUCGAAA